UACGGGGGGGGGCAAGCGUUGUUCGGAAUUACUGGGCGUAAAGGGCUCGUAGGUGGCCAACUAAGUCAGACGUGAAAUCCCUCAGCUUAACUGGGGAACUGCGUCUGAUACUGGAUGGCUUGAGUUGGACGGAGGAGGAUCGGUGAAUUCCAGGUGUAGCGGUGAAAUGCGUAGAUAUCUGGAGGAACACCGGUGGCGAAGGCGGCAUCCUGGACCGACACUGACGCUGAGGCGCGAAAGCCAGGGGAGCAAACGGG
rnacentral:rRNA from 1 species